rnacentral:rRNA from 1 species
CGGGCCCGGUACUAGUGGCGCACGGGUGAGGAAUGCGUGGAUAAUCUACCUUUUUGUGGGGAAUAACGUUCCGAAAGGAACGCUAAUACCGCAUAAGACCACAAUCUCUGCGGAGAUAGUGGUAAAAGAUGGCCUCUUCUUGAAAGCUGUCGCAGAAAGAUGAGUCCACGUCCCAUUAGAUUGUUGGUAGGGUAACGGCCUACCAAAUCCGCGAUGGGUAGCUGGUCUGAGAGGAUGAUCAGCCACACUGGAACUGAGACACGGUCCAGACUCC